GAUGAAGAACGUAGCGAAAUGCAAUACUUGGUGUGAAUUGCAGAAUCCCGUGAACCAUCGAGUCUUUGAACGCAAGUUGCGCCCGAAGCCACUAGGCCGAGGGCACGCCUGCCUGGGCGUCACACGCCGUUGCCCCCCCAUCUACUCCUUCGGGAUUGCGGGGGGGCGGAUGAUGGCCUCCCGUGCGCCUAGCCGCGCGGUUGGCAUAAAUACCAAGUCCUCGGCGACGCACGCCACGACAAUCGGUGGUUGCGAAACCUCGGUUGCCCGUCGUGUGCGUUCGUCGCGCAUCGAGGGCUCGAAAAAAUGCUCGGCUCCGGCUGGGCUUUCAACGCGACCCCAGGUCAGGCGGGGUUACCCGCUGAAUUUAAGCAUAUCAAUAAGCGGAGGA
rnacentral:misc_RNA from 1 species